rnacentral:rRNA from 1 species
AACGAACGCUGGCGGCGUGGAUAAGACAUGCAAGUCGAACGGGACUAAAUCUGUAGCAAUACAGGUUUAGUUUAGUGGCGAACGGGUGCGUAACACGUGGGCAAUCUGCCGAGAAGUGGGGGAUAGCUCGCCGAAAGGCGAAUUAAUACCGGCAUAUGAUCAGCUAAGACAUCUUAGCGACAUCAAAGCCGGGGUAACCUGGCGCUUCUUGAUGAGCCCGCGGCCUAUCAGCUAGUUGGUGAGGUAACGGCUCACCAAGGCUAUGACGGGUAGCUGGUCUGAGAGGACGACCAGUCACACGUGGAACUGAGACACGGUCCAGACACCUACGGGUGGCAGCAGUCGAGAAUUUUUCUACAAGUGGGGCAACCCUGAAGGAGCGACGCCGCGUGGAGGAUGAAGGC